AACUUUCGGACGGUGGCGGAGUUGUGAAGGAUAAUGAUUGUUUGGACAUUUCUCCGGAACCGCAGUAGCCAGUAAUCAAACAUCGACAACAAGUUCUGGUGCUUUACAAAGAUCAAGGUGGUCAAUUCGACAGGGAAGAUGCCAAUCUAAAGAUUCUAAGUCGUCCGAUGCACCACUGUUCUGACAAGGGCCCUGUAGCCUUGAAACAGCAUCUGAACCAUCUCGAAGCAAGAAAAACAUCCGGAUUAAGAAUAACCUUAGGAUCGCUUCAAGAAGGUGCUGGAGAAAAAGCUGCACCAAUCAUCCGGAUCGAAGGAGUCGUCCCGGGUGAUUCAACGAUAUCCGCCCGCCGUACCACAGAAUCCCAGUAACUCGCUUACCAGCAUAAGUUCCCGGUUGGAUGCGAUUGAAUUGAUUCGGCUACGGUAGAGUGAUCAAAGAAACGCUCCUGCGGGAAAAUGGAUGCUGGAGAAAAAUAUCGGGAAAUAAGAAGGCACCACUGACGGUGGCGACGGCGGAAGAAGGGCCUCCACCUCCACCUCAAGUCUAAUCGGCCCGGAAACAACUCGUCCAACUCCGGAGCUUGAGCCUGCGCCAACGAUAUGAUCAUGCUAAGGAUCUUCGUCUCCAGCACCCAGCGACACAUGAUGACCAACACCGCAUUUCCAGGAGAGCGUUCUAGCAGCUGGCUGCGCUGAACGCCCACAAAAUAAUCACAAAAGUUUAAAAAUAAAAAGGUUAAAUCAAAAUUA